rnacentral:misc_RNA from 1 species
GAUGAAGAACGCAGCGAAAUGCGAUAAGUAAUGUGAAUUGCAGAAUUCAGUGAAUCAUCGAAUCUUUGAACGCACAUUGCGCCCGCCAGUAUUCUGGCGGGCAUGCCUGUUCGAGCGUCAUUUCAACCAUCAAGCCCCCGGCUUGUGUUGGGGACCUGCGGCUGCCGCAGGCCCUGAAAAGCAGUGGCGGGCUCGCUGUCACACCGAGCGUAGUAGCAUACAUCUCGCUCUGGGCGUGCUGCGGGUUCCGGCCGUUAAACCACCUUCAUAACCCAAGGUUGACCUCGGAUCAGGUAGGAAGACCCGCUGAACUUAAGCAUAUCAAUAAGCGGAGGAA